CGGGGAGUUGAAAAUAAGCAUAGAUCCGGAGAUUCCCAAAUAGGUCAACCUUUUAAACUGCCUGCUGAAUCCAUGAGCAGGCAAGAGACAACCUGGCGAACUGAAACAUCUUAGUAGCCAGAGGAAAAGAAAGCAAAAGCGAUUCCCGUAGUACCGGCGAGCGAAAUGGGAGCAGCCUAAACCGUGAAAACGGGGUUGUGGGAGAGCAAUACAAGCGUUGUGCUGCUAGGCGAAGCGGUUGAGUGCCGCACCCUAGAUGGCUAAAGUCCAGUAGCCGAAAGCAUCACUAGCUUAU
rnacentral:ncRNA from 1 species